rnacentral:lncRNA from 1 species
GUUCUAUAUAUGUUGGUCCAAAUUUAAAUUUAUUGAAGAUAUAAUUAUUAAUUUGAAUGAUGGCAUAUUGGUUUUUUUUUUUUUUUUUUAGAGAUAGGUAGCACGCUACCCGCUUCAUUUAUUUUAUUUAGAAAUAAACUUAGCUGAAAAUGUGAAUCAACUAUGAUUCGAACUUGGGUUUCGAAUACCAACUAUCAAGCUUUUUUGCCACUUACGCUAGGAACGGUCGGUGCAUAUUGGUUAAUUAAGGCCAAAAAU